GACGAACGCUGGCGGCGUGCUUAACACAUGCAAGUCGAACGGACAGGCCCUGCGUUUGUGGGGUUCUCGAUUGCCGAACGGGUGAGUAACACGUGUGUAAACUGUCCUUGUAUUUGGGGUAACAUCAGGGGAAUGGGGCGCAUACCCGAGAUGAGCUACUGCUGCAUGGUGGGGAUUGGAAAGUUUCGGCGGUUGGGGCUGGACUCGCUGCUUAUCAGCUGGUUGGUGGAGUAGUGGCUUACCAAGGCUUUGACGGGUAGGCGGCCUGGGAGGGUGAACGGCCACAUUGGGCCUGCGGUACGGACCAGAAUCCUACCGGAGGCAGUAGUGGGGAGUAUUGCGCAACAGCCGGAAGUCUGAUACAGAAACCUCGCGUGCGGGAUGACCGCCUUCGAGGUGAGAACCGAUUUCGACGGAGCCGAAGCGGGAGUGACGGUAACGGGUAAAGAAGCACCGGCUAACUACGUG
rnacentral:rRNA from 1 species